rnacentral:rRNA from 1 species
UUAAGCGACUAAGCGUACACGGUGGAUGCCCUGGCAGUCAGAGGCGAUGAAGGACGUGCUAAUCUGCGAAAAGCGUCGGUAAGGUGAUAUGAACCGUUAUAACCGGCGAUGUCCGAAUGGGGAAACCCAGUGCAAUUCGUUGCACUAUCGUUAACUGAAUACAUAGGUUAACGAGGCGAACCGGGGGAACUGAAACAUCUAAGUACCCCGAGGAAAAGAAAUCAACCGAGAUUCCCCCAGUAGCGGCGAGCGAACGGGGAGCAGCCCAGAGUCUGAAUCAGCUUGUGUGUUAGUGGAACGGUCUGGAAAGUCCGACGGUACAGGGUGAUAGUCCCGUACACCAAAAUGCACAGGUUGUGAACUCGAAGAGUAGGGCGGGACACGUGGUAUCCUGUCUGAAUAUGGGGGGACCAUCCUCCAAGGCUAAAUACUCCUGACUGACCGAUAGUGAACCAGUACCGUGAGGGAAAGGCGAAAAGAACCCCGGCGAGGGGAGUGAAAAAGAACCUGAAACCGUGUACGUACAAGCAGUGGGAGCACCUUCGGGUGUGACUGCGUACCUUUUGUAUAAUGGGUCAGCGACUUAUAUUCUGUAGCAAGGUUAACCGUAUAGGGGAGCCGCAGGGAAACCGAGUCUUAACUGGGCGUUAAGUUGCAGGGUAUAGACCCGAAACCCGGUGAUCUAGCCAUGGGCAGGUUGAAGGUUGGGUAACACUAACUGGAGGACCGAACCGACUAAUGUUGAAAAAUUAGCGGAUGACUUGUGGCUGGGGGUGAAAGGCCAAUCAAACCGGGAGAUAGCUGGUUCUCCCCGAAAGCUAUUUAGGUAGCGCCUCGUGAAUUCAUCUUCGGGGGUAGAGCACUGUUUCGGCUAGGGGGUCAUCCCGACUUACCAACCCGAUGCAAACUACGAAUACCGAAGAAUGUUAUCACGGGAGACACACGGCGGGUGCUAACGUCCGUCGUGAAGAGGGAAACAACCCAGACCGCCAGCUAAGGUCCCAAAGUCAUGGUUAAGUGGGAAACGAUGUGGGAAGGCACAGACAGCCAGGAUGUUGGCUUAGAAGCAGCCAUCAUUUAAAGAAAGCGUAAUAGCUCACUGGUCGAGUCGGCCUGCGCGGAAGAUGUAACGGGGCUAAACCAUGCACCGAAGCUGCGGCAGCGACACUAUGUGUUGUUGGGUAGGGGAGCGUUCUGUAAGCCUGCGAAGGUGUGCUGUGAGGCAUGCUGGAGGUAUCAGAAGUGCGAAUGCUGACAUAAGUAACGAUAAAGCGGGUGAAAAGCCCGCUCGCCGGAAGACCAAGGGUUCCUGUCCAACGUUAAUCGGGGCAGGGUGAGUCGACCCCUAAGGCGAGGCCGAAAGGCGUAGUCGAUGGGAAACAGGUUAAUAUUCCUGUACUUGGUGUUACUGCGAAGGGGGGACGGAGAAGGCUAUGUUAGCCGGGCGACGGUUGUCCCGGUUUAAGCAUGUAGGCUGAUUGUCCAGGCAAAUCCGGAUAAUCAAGGCUGAGGUGUGAUGACGAGGCACUACGGUGCUGAAGUAACAAAUGCCCUGCUUCCAGGAAAAGCCUCUAAGCAUCAGGUAACAUCAAAUCGUACCCCAAACCGACACAGGUGGUCAGGUAGAGAAUACCAAGGCGCUUGAGAGAACUCGGGUGAAGGAACUAGGCAAAAUGGUGCCGUAACUUCGGGAGAAGGCACGCUGGUGUGUAGGUGAAGUCCCUGCGGAUGGAGCUGAGACCAGUCGAAGAUACCAGCUGGCUGCAACUGUUUAUUAAAAACACAGCACUGUGCAAACACGAAAGUGGACGUAUACGGUGUGACGCCUGCCCGGUGCCGGAAGGUUAAUUGAUGGGGUUAUCCGUAAGGAGAAGCUCUUGAUCGAAGCCCCGGUAAACGGCGGCCGUAACUAUAACGGUCCUAAGGUAGCGAAAUUCCUUGUCGGGUAAGUUCCGACCUGCACGAAUGGCGUAAUGAUGGCCAGGCUGUCUCCACCCGAGACUCAGUGAAAUUGAACUCGCUGUGAAGAUGCAGUGUACCCGCGGCAAGACGGAAAGACCCCGUGAACCUUUACUAUAGCUUGACACUGAACAUUGAGCCUUGAUGUGUAGGAUAGGUGGGAGGCUUUGAAGCGUGGACGCCAGUCUGCGUGGAGCCAACCUUGAAAUACCACCCUUUAAUGUUUGAUGUUCUAACGUUGGCCCCUUACCGGGGUUGCGGACAGUGUCUGGUGGGUAGUUUGACUGGGGCGGUCUCCUCCCAAAGCGUAACGGAGGAGCACGAAGGUUAGCUAAUCCUGGUCGGACAUCAGGAGGUUAGUGCAAUGGCAUAAGCUAGCUUGACUGCGAGCGUGACGGCGCGAGCAGGUGCGAAAGCAGGUCAUAGUGAUCCGGUGGUUCUGAAUGGAAGGGCCAUCGCUCAACGGAUAAAAGGUACUCCGGGGAUAACAGGCUGAUACCGCCCAAGAGUUCAUAUCGACGGCGGUGUUUGGCACCUCGAUGUCGGCUCAUCACAUCCUGGGGCUGAAGUAGGUCCCAAGGGUAUGGCUGUUCGCCAUUUAAAGUGGUACGCGAGCUGGGUUUAGAACGUCGUGAGACAGUUCGGUCCCUAUCUGCCGUGGGCGCUGGAGAAUUGAGGGGGGCUGCUCCUAGUACGAGAGGACCGGAGUGGACGCAUCACUGGUGUUCGGGUUGUCAUGCCAAUGGCACUGCCCGGUAGCUAAAUGCGGAAGAGAUAAGUGCUGAAAGCAUCUAAGCACGAAACUUGCCCCGAGAUGAGUUCUCCCUGAGACUUUAAGUCUCCUGAAGGAACGUU